ACUGUACUCCCUUCGUUCGGAAUUACUUGUCGCAGAAAUGGAUGUAUCUAAACGUAUUUUAAUUCUAGAUACAUCCAUAUCCAAGACAAGUAAUUCCAAACGGAGGGAGUACAUG
rnacentral:pre_miRNA from 1 species